GAACUUAAGCAUAUCAAUAAGCGCAGGAAAAGAAACCAACAGGGAUUCCCCUAGUAAUGGCGAAUGAAGCGGGAAAAGCUCAAAUUUGAAAUCUGGCUGUUCUGCAGUCCGAGUUGUAAUUUCGAGAGACAGCUUUGGCUUCCCACGCUGCCCAAGUUCCUUGGAACAGGACGUCACAGAGGGUGAGAAUCCCGUGUGUGGCAGCGGAAAGGGGGCUGUGUAUAGCGUCUUCAAAGAGUCGAGUUGUUUGGGAAUGCAGCUCAAAAUGGGUGGUAAAUUUCAUCUAAAACUAAAUAUUGGCGAGAGACCGAUAGCGAACAAGUAGAGUGAUCGAAAGAUGAAAAGAACUUUGAAAAGAGAGUUAAACAGUACGUGAAAUUGUUGAAAGGGAAGCGCUUGGCGUUAGACAGAGCGGUGUGGAUUUAUUUGCGCUGCUGGGCCAACAUCAGUUUCUGGCGCGUGGACAAAGAUCUCUGGAAUGUGACUGUUUCGGCAGUGUUAUAGCCAGAGGUGGCAUGUGCGCAGCUGAGACUGAGGACCGCGGCCCGCAAGGGUCUAGGAUGUUGGCAUAAUGGCGCUCAGCGACCCGUCUUGAAACACGGACCAAGGAGUCUAACAUCUAUGCGAGUGUUUGGGUGUCAAACCCGGAACGCGAAAUGAAAGUAAAUGCAGAAGGGAACGCAAGUGCACCUUCGACCGGUCUGGACGUGAUACUGAAGGAUCUGAGUAAGAGCAUAGCUGUUGGGACCCGAAA
rnacentral:rRNA from 1 species